rnacentral:rRNA from 1 species
UGGGGAAUAUUGCACAAUGGGCGAAAGCCUGAUGCAGCAACGCCGCGUGAAGGAGGAAGGCCUUCGGGUCGUAAACUUCUGUCCUUGAGGAAGAAGAAAUGACGGUACUCAAGGAGGAAGCCCCGGCUAACUACGUGCCAGCAGCCGCGGUAAUACGUAGGGGGCAAGCGUUAUCCGGAAUUAUUGGGCGUAAAGAGUGCGUAGGUGGUUACCUAAGCGCAGGGUAUAAGGCAAUGGCUCAACCAUUGUUCGCCCUGCGAACUGGGCUACUUGAGUGCAGGAGAGGAAAGCGGAAUUCCUAGUGUAGCGGUGAAAUGCGUAGAUAUUAGGAGGAACACCAGUGGCGAAGGCGGCUUUCUGGACUGUAACUGACACUGAGGCACGAAAGCGUGGGGAGCAAACA